rnacentral:rRNA from 1 species
AUAGCGUAUAUUAAAGUUGUUGCAGUUAAAAAGCUCGUAGUUGAUUUUCUGUUAAUUUUUAUGUAUAAUAUUGCGAUAUUUACAUAAUAUUAACAUAAUUCACAUUACUUUUUACAGUAUGUGGAAUUUUACUUUGAGAAAAUUAGAGUGCUUAAAGCAGGCUAUUGCCUUGAAUACUCCAGCAUGGAAUAAUAUUAAGGAUUUUUAUUCUUCUUAUUGGUUCUAGAAUAAAAAUAAUGAUUAAUAGGAACAGUUGGGGGCAUUUGUAUUUAACAGUUAGAGGUGAAAUUCUUAGAUUUGUUAAAGACAAACUACUGCGAAAGCAUUUGCCAAGGAUGUUUUCAUUAAUCAAGAACGAAAGUUAGGGGAUCGAAGACGAUCAGAUACCGUCGUAGUCUUAA